AUGCAAGUCGAGGGGCAUCAGUUUGGUUUGCUUGCAAACCAAAGCUGGCGACCGGCGCACGGGUGAGUAACACGUAUCCAACUUGCCCUUGUCCCGGGGAUAGCCUCGCGAAAGCGAGAAUAAUACCCGGUGUAGCCACGGUUCCGCAUGGAAUUGUGGCGAUAGGUCCGCCGGACAAGGAUAGGGAUGCGUCCCAUUAGGCAGUAGGCGGGGUAACGGCCCACCUAACCGACGAUGGGUAGGGGUUCUGAGAGGAAGGUCCCCACAUUGGUACUGAGACACGGACCAAACUCC
rnacentral:rRNA from 1 species